rnacentral:lncRNA from 1 species
AUUGAAUCCAACUCAAUUAUACUUGAUCCAAACUUCAAUGCUCAAUCAAAUUGAGUUAAUUAGUAAUCUAAUUACUAACUAAUCUUUCUAAAUUUUACUAACACUUAGCAAAUAAUGUUAUUGCAACUACUGCACAGGAUUAACCAUCAAUCGUAUUGACGAUUUUACCCUCGGAUAAUUCUCAAUCGUCGAUCUGCUAAUUGAUC